AAAGCCUCGCCCAGGCAAAGUUGUUUGACCAUAAAAGGAGAGAGGCUGCGCGAACAGCUGAGCUCACUCGCUGGGGAAUGUGGCAAUGAGCCUACACUGAUGAGAAGCCCGCAGUAUGCUGCAUCCUUACCAGAUUAUACCAGAGUCCUAGAGUCUCCAUUUGUGUUAGCUUUCGACUCGAAAAUUGUUGUUCUCCAAAUCCCUGCACCUCCAAGCAAGGAAUGGAAUUUCAAGUUACAUAGUUGCUGCCUGAAGAAUUCCACUCGCCUAAACAUAGCAAUUAUUCAUGUGAUUUGAGGGACCGUGAGACCAGAACUCUUCCCAUCUACAAUUUUCAACUCCUUCUCCCAGCCAACAGUAAACGGAGGAAGAAGUAGUAAAUGUGAAAGUAUGAUAAAUGUUCUCUUACCUACUGCAGAUUAAAACCAACUUUGGGGAGAUAAAAAGGAAGAGCAGCCUUCUGUGAGAGCAGAGAAAAUCUAAGAACCCCCAAAAUGCAGAAGACAUGCUCUUGCAUUAACUGCACCUUGUGUUUCAGGGCCUUACUAUGUAAGAAUGGGCGUACUACACAUGAGACUGUGAGAAGCGGGAAACUUUUUGAAACAUCGUGAUGGCUGGUGAUUAGUACUAUACUGUGAAAAAAACCCAUAUAUUGACUCAGUGUAUGUCUUGAUUCCAUUUGAAAUUCCUUUUCUGUCAAAAACAUGGACAGAACAGGGUAGGCUGAAGAUUAAAGAUUCUGGCAUCUGCUGAGCCCUUCCUGGCAGGGAGGGAGUGGGAAAGAUUCCCUUACCUGUGAACUCACUCAUCUUCCCAUUUCAUGUGCCACUGGAAAAGCCCCAGGCCACGGCAGAAGAACCUGGAAUUUCAGAGCAUGGCCCAGCCUACCUCCAGUCUCAUCCCACGUGAGCAGGCAUUUAGCUGGUUCAGAUGCAAGGUGCAGGCAGAACAAGAUUACAUUUGCUCGGAUGUGAGUGUAGUCCACAUGAAAAUCCUAUCAGUAGCUAAUACAGCUUGAUGUAGAAUUAACUCAUGUGGCAUCUACUCCAUUACUUCUAUGAAGCAAUUACAG